rnacentral:rRNA from 1 species
UUAUGGGGAAUUAGGACUGUUACCUUGAAAAAUUAGAGUGUUUAAAGCAGGCUUACGCUUGAAUACAUUAGCAUGGAAUAAUGAAAUAGGACAUCAGAUUCUAUUUUGUUGGUUUCUAGGAUCGAUGUAAUGAUUAAUAGGGAUAGUUGGGGGCAUUAGUAUUCAAUUGUCAGAGGUGAAAUUCUUGGAUUUAUUGAAGACUAACUACUGCGAAAGCAUUUGCCAAGGAUGUUUUCAUUAAUCAAGAACGAAAGUUAGGGGAUCGAAGACGAUCAGAUACCGUCGUAGUCUUAACCAUAAACUAUGCCGACUAGGGAUCGGAUGAUGUUAAUUUUUAAUGACUCAUUCGGCGCCUUACG